UCCCUGGAGGACUAGUGGUUAGGGCUCAGAGCUCUCACUGCCGCGGACUGCGUUCGAUUCCCAGCCAGGCAA
rnacentral:tRNA from 1 species